rnacentral:rRNA from 1 species
CCUACGGGUGGCAGCAGUGGGGAAUAUUGCACAAUGGGCGAAAGCCUGAUGCAGCAACGCCGCGUGAGCGAUGAAGGCCUUCGGGUCGUAAACUCCUGUCCUCAAGGAAGAUAAUGACGGUAUCUGAGGAGGAAGCCCCGGCUAACUACGUGCCAGCAGCCGCGGUAAUACGUAGGGGGCAAGCGUUAUCCGGAAUCACUGGGCGUAAGGGGUGCGCAGGUGGUUUGUUAAGUCAGAGGUAAAAGGCUAAGGCUAAACCGUAGUAAGCCUUUGAAACUGGGAAACUUGAGUGCAGGAGAGGUGAGUGGAAUUCCUAGUGUAGCGGUGAAAUGCGUAGAUAUUAAGAGGAACACUAGUUGCGAAGGCGGCUCUCUGGACUGUAACUGACACUGAGGCACGAAAGCGUGGGGAGCAAACAGGAUUAGAUACCCCGGUAGUC